GUUUGGAAGGGAUAAGCGCUGAAAGCAUAUAAGCGCGAAACCCACCACAAGAUGAGAUUUCUUUAAAGGGUCGUGGGAGAUGACCACGUUGAUAGGCUAUAGGUGUAAAGGCAGUAAUGUCAUAGCCGAGUAGUACUAAUAACCCAUAGGCUUAUUGUA
rfam:Arenitalea lutea strain CGMCC 1.12213 genome assembly, contig: Ga0079849_108